GGUUGGCCUUAGGUACAGGUUCCAACUCAUUACCCAAAUGGCAGUCUGGGAAGCCACCUGCUUCCCAGAGCUGUCUCCCCCAGCAGACAGCAUUGAACUAGAGGCUGGAGCGUGACUGGGAAUAUGCAGUUAAGGCAUGCUCAUAAAAUUUUCAAAACAUGCUGCUGUGUUCUGGAGGCAGAAUCUGUACCUUUUGAUUGCUUUUACCACCUGCCAUGACUCCUGUUUGAUAGUUCAGAUUAUCAGCUGCUUCUCAUGUCUCUAGGCGAACUGCGAAGUCAGUUUUUCAAAUGAGAAGAGAAAGUACACAGAGCACCUUCAAAUUGGAGUUCUCAUUGGAAGUCUAUGAACUCACCAGACAACCCUAGAAUAUACUAAGCUUCAAAUCUCAACUUGGUGGUUGGUCCAGGACUAUUCAUGCAAAACUUUGGAUGCUGUCUCUGAUUCUCAGCUGAGCUGGAUUUUCUUCAGCUACAGAGCGGAUUGACAAGAUCUCUUUCCUGACUAGGUGUUCCUGUAUGUGCCUGAGAUAAAUCAUAAAUUUAAUUUUCAUGACAGCCCCAUGAGGUCAGCACCACUGGGGCAGGACUUCUGUCCACCAUGGUCCCUGCACCCUGAGUGUUUUGAAAAGUUCGUGGCCCACAGUGCUUCCUGACUGAGUGAAUCUAUCCAGUAUGUUUGGCCCUGAAGCAGACCUGCAGUCUAUCCAGUAGACAGAAAUACUACUGGGAAGAGAGAGAAAAUCUCAUUCAGAAUGAGAGCGUUUGUGUUACUCCUUCUACCACUGGUCUGCAUACAGGUUCUGCCUUGGCCACUCAGGCUCCCUUCCACCCCAGGAAUGACAGACAAGCCAUAUGAGAAGGAAGCGUUGCUAUGGUGCCAUCACCUUAUCCUUUCCUGUCUCUCUGUUUCUCCAUUUUGCUUUGGAUAGAGGUUUGCAUGAUUUCAUCUCCAAAUAUUCAGUCAUUUUAAUUCUUAACCUGGAGUUUUAGCCUUCCAGACAAUGGCCAUCUGUCCACUGUAGAUUUCUUCUCCCUUUUUAAUUUUUAAAAAAUUUUUAUUUAAAAGGAAAAAAGAAAAUCAAAACAAAACAGUAUAGGGUACAAAUAAUAUAGAAUUACAAAAAAAAAAAACAGUAAGAAAUCACUAGUUAAUAGAUUACAUAUUGUCAUCUUAGAAAUAGUUGUUCAAGUUACAGGAUUAAAGAUACAAAGUGGACAUUCAAACAGUGAGACUGCAAACAGUUGUGUUCAAUGAUCCAACAAAAACUCAGUAAUAUGGUCAUCUAUCUUAACACACCUAAACACACUUCCAGUUGUAUCCUCUAGAGCACUUUUUUUCUCUCUUUUUUACAACAAAAUUUACACAUUUUGGGUUUUAUUACUACCAUAGUUCUUAUUACUUUUUCCUUUUUAAUUUUUUAAAGUCCCCUUUCUUUGUAUGUGUGUGGUACUCAGUGAAUGACCAUUCUGUCUUAGAAUUUAGAUGAUACAGGGAAAAGGAAGAAGUAAAGCAACUCCAUGGCCACUUCCACCUAAGUCUCACCAUUCUCAUCACUGUUUCCUGGAUUCUUUGUCACUGGGUCAAUGAAUUUCUGCACAAGUGCAAGAAAAAAUAAACUUUAAAGAGUUUUUUAAUUGUUGUAGGAAAUUAAAACUUAUAUAUACAUUGAAAAAAUAGUGCCAUGAAUUCCUCCCAGGGCAGCCAGGAAUUUCUAGAGCUCUAACUUCCUUCUGUCCCUACAAAAUAAAGGAGUGCUUCUCUGUCUUCUGUAAAGAGAAUCAGUUUAAAAAGUCUCCAUUGCUUCAUGUACAAUAAUGCAAAAACACAAGGCUUUGUUGUGCUGAGACCUGAUUUGCCUUGAGAGAAGGUAAAAGCAGAAGGGUCUAUUCUUCCGUAAAGAAAGAUACUGCAGUGUGUUCAUGGAGUAGACUCUAGAACUAGUGAGAGUACUGAACGUGAGAAUGUAGCAGAGGAAGGAGAUAUGCCCUAAACGCACUAGAAUCUU